UAAAAGGAGGAAGACGCAGCUAUUCUUGAAGACAUUCAGUGUAGUGUUCGUUCGUUGCUGCAGCUUUGUGCGCUGUAUUUACGAAAAUGGCGUAAGAUCAGUGGUGAGACUUCAGCCAAACAUUCACAGAAAAACAUUCACAGAAAAACAAACGAAGCACACAAAGAAAGUCUGUUUGGGAUUCCUUUCACCCAGUGGCCAAAUCCUUCACUUGGUUUCCUGCAGGAGCAAGCAGUUUUGUGUUUAUGAUGGAGUCCUGGCCUCGUUGCAAAAGUGGAUAAAUCUGUUGCAAAGGCUGAAGCAUUAAUUGGAAAGUGUUCUGAAUCCAAAUAAACUGGCUUUUGAAUUUACCUGUUAAAGUGAAAAAGCUGAAAAUCUGACAGACCAAAGGCAGUGUCGUAUAUUAAGCAAUAUUUGGACAUAAAUGAUUAUCAGAAAAGGAUGACUUAGGCAUUUAUUUAUUUAAAUUAUAUGCCAACCAGAUAUGGCUUUUCUUUAUACUAAAGGUGUAUGCGUAUUCUGCUGAUAGUAAGUUGUCAUGGUGGUCUUGUAUGCCUGCCCAUCAAGCUUAGCUUCAAAGUUUCAAAUAACAUGUUUGCAUAUAGAUAGCUCAGUACAUCAGGUGAAAUAUUAGUUUUUUACUGUUCUUUCCAUCAUCACAUCUGACCCCUUCAUGGGGGUACAAAGUAAAUCAUAGAACCCCCUCACCCCCUUCUAUCUAGUUUCUCUUUUGUCCAUUUAUUCAUCAAUCUACUCUCAAAUCUUUCUAAAACUAUCGGGAGUUAAUUCAUAAAGCAGUUUUUUAAUCAAUCAUUCACUAAACCCUGGAUUUAA